rnacentral:rRNA from 1 species
ACGGAAGGCAGCAGUGGGGAAUAUUGCACAAUGGGGGAAACCCUGAUGCAGCGACGCCGCGUGAGCGAUGAAGUAUUUCGGUAUGUAAAGCUCUAUCAGCAGGGAAGAUAAUGACGGUACCUGACUAAGAAGCCCCGGCUAACUACGUGCCAGCAGCCGCGGUAAUACGUAGGGGGCAAGCGUUAUCCGGAUUUACUGGGUGUAAAGGGAGCGCAGGCGGUUUUUUAAGUCUGAUGUGAAAGCCCGCGGCUCAACUGCGGGACUGCAUUGGAAACUGGAGAACUAGAGUGUCGGAGGGGCAAGUGGAAUUCCUAGUGUAGCGGUGAAAUGCGUAGAUAUUAGGAGGAACACCAGUGGCGAAGGCGGCUUACUGGACGAUAACUGACGUUGAGGCUCGAAAGCGUGGGGAGCAAACAGGAUUAGAUACCCUGGUA